UACGUAGGGUGCAAGCGUUGUCCGGAAUUAUUGGGCGUAAAGGGCUCGUAGGCGGUCCAUCGCGUCGGGAGUGAAAAGCUGGGGCUUAACCCCAGUCCUGCUUCCGAUACGGGUGGACUAGAGGUAUGCAGGGGAGAACGGAAUUCCUGGUGUAGCGGUGAAAUGCGCAGAUAUCAGGAGGAACACCUAUUGCGAAGGCAGCUCGCUGGGACGUUACUGACGCUGAGACGCGAAAGCGUGGGGAGCAAACAGG
rnacentral:rRNA from 1 species